rnacentral:rRNA from 1 species
ACGAACGCUGGCGGCGUGCUUAACCCCUGCAAGUCGAACGGAAAGGCCCUGCCUUUGUGGGGUGCCCGAGUGGCGAACGGGUGAGUAACACGUGAGUAACCUGCCCUUGACUUUGGGAUAACUUCAGGAAACUGGGGCUAAUACCGGAUAGGAGCUCCUGCUGCAUGGUGGGGGUUGGAAAGUUUCGGCGGUUGGGGAUGGACUCGCGGCUUAUCAGCUUGUUGGUGGGGUAGUGGCUUACCAAGGCUUUGACGGGUAGCCGGCCUGAGAGGGUGACCGGCCACAUUGGGACUGAGAUACGGCCCAGACUCCUACGGGAGGCAGCAGUGGGGAAUAUUGCACAAUGGGCGGAAGCCUGAUGCAGCAACGCCGCGUGCGGGAUGACGGCCUUCGGGUUGUAAACCGCUUUCGCCUGUGACGAAGCGUGAGUGACGGUAAUGGGUAAAGAAGCACCGGCUAACUACGUG